rnacentral:sRNA from 1 species
GGCAAGGCAGGCGGCGCGGCCGGCCUCUUCGCCAAGCAGGUGCAGAAGAAGUUUAGCAGGGCCCAGGAGAAGCCCAACCUGCCUUCUACAACGGAGAAGUUUUGAUUUUCUAAGAGCUGAUUGACUUAGAAGCAUUUGGAUGAACAGCUCUGCUUAACAACUGAAAUAUCCCUAUUAUCUUCUAAAGGUGGAGCGCUGGUUUGAACCCUGGGAAGGCUUAAAGGCAACCAGCUCUCCCGAGUUCAUUUAUCAGCAGAAAACUGAUGGAAUGUAGAUGUAGCUCCUGACUUUAAGAGACCACAGUGGAAGGGAGGUUUUUUCUAUCAUUUGAGGUCAUGUGAAAGAGAGGAGGAAAAGGGAAAGAGUUUGUGUAGCCAGACUUCGUUACUUCACUUACCCUAACUUCACCUUG